rfam:West Nile virus strain 385-99, complete genome.
CUGGGAUAGACUAGGAGAUCUUCUGCUCUGCACAACCAGCCACACGGCACAGUGCGCCGACAAUGGUGGCUGGU